UUUCAGCGGAAGAUGGCCGCUUUGCGACGUAAAGAACGUGCCGGACUUUCCCAGUUGCUUGCAAAGCCUGCUGCUUUUUCUUAAAUUACAUUUAAUGUUUUCUUUGAGGGCAGUGGAAACGUAUGUAGUUUUUGGAAGAAAAUGGAGCUAGGCAGACGCUUUGAAUCCGCCGAGAUCCGCCUCCUCCGCUUUGGAAAACUUGCCCCGAGAAGCACUCAGGAAAAGGAGAGUAGAACUAGGAUACCCGAUCAAGGUGGCGGGGGAAGAGAAUGUUGGGUGGAUAUUGGGAAGCCUGGAAGCAAUCAAGACAGCUGUGGCACCAGAGAAGUCUUUAAUAUGUAACAUCACUUGCAUGGACAAUACAAGAUGUGUGGACACAUCAAAUAUGGAUCUUUUGUCACUAGCCAUGUUUAAAAUAGAACUUGAUGCAGUUUUUUCUAAACCUAAACAAACAUAUUAAAUGAAUCUGGGUCUACUUUUUACCAGUGUUAAAUGGGGCUUUAAUGAGAUCUCUAACAAUGUAAGUGCCGUUCAUUUGAAUGCAAGAAAUGCCUUCAAUUCUU